GAUGGCGGAACGGGUGAGUAACGCGUAAGAAACUUGCCCUUUAGACUGGGAUAACANAGGGAAACUUCUGAUAAUACUGGAUAAGUUAGUAUAAUCGCAUGAUAUGCAAAUGAAAGCUACGGCACUAAAGGAGAGCUUUGCGUCCUAUUAGCUAGUUGGUAAGGUAAGAGCUUACCAAGGCGAUGAUAGGUAGCCGGCCUGAGAGGGUGGACGGCCACAAGGGGACUGAGAUACGGCCCUUACUCCUACGGGAGGCAGCAGUA
rnacentral:rRNA from 1 species